rnacentral:rRNA from 1 species
UGAGUAACACGUAUCCAACCUGCCGUCUACUCUUGGACAGCCUUCUGAAAGGAAGAUUAAUACAAGAUGGCAUCAUGAGUCCGCAUGUUCACAUGAUUAAAGGUAUUCCGGUAGACGAUGGGGAUGCGUUCCAUUAGAUAGUAGGCGGGGUAACGGCCCACCUAGUCUUCGAUGGAUAGGGGUUCUGAGAGGAAGGUCCCCCACAUUGGAACUGAGACACGGUCCAA